AGAAUCAACGCUGGCGGCGUGCCUAACACAUGCAAGUCGCACGAGAAAGGGGAGCAAUCCCUGAGUACAGUGGCGCACGGGUGAGUAACACGUGAAUAAUCUACCUCCUAGUGGGGAAUAACUGAGAGAAAUCUUAGCUAAUACCGCAUAACACUUACGAGUCAAAGCAGCAAUGCGCUUGGAGAGGAGUUCGCGGCCGAUUAGUUAGUUGGCGGGGUAAUGGCCCACCAAGACAAUGAUCGGUA
rnacentral:rRNA from 1 species